UACGGCAACAUCACGUUGAAACACCGGUUUCCGUGCAAUCAACGAAGUUAAGUUACGUCGAGCCUAGUCAGUACCUAGAUGGGUGAACGCUUCGGAAUACCAGAUACUGCAA